rnacentral:rRNA from 1 species
AUUGAACGCUGGCGGCAUGCCUUACACAUGCAAGUCGAACGGUAACGCGGGGCAACCUGGCGACGAGUGGCGAACGGGUGAGUAAUGCAUCGGAACGUGCCCAGUAGUGGGGGAUAGCCCGGCGAAAGCCGGAUUAAUACCGCAUACGACCUACGGGUGAAAGCGGGGGAUCGCAAGACCUCGCGCUAUUGGAGCGGCCGAUGUCAGAUUAGGUAGUUGGUGGGGUAAAGGCCUACCAAGCCUACGAUCUGUAGCUGGUCUGAGAGGACGACCCGCCACACUGGGACUGAGACACGGCCCAGACUCCUACGGGAGGCAGCAGUGGGGAAUUUUGGACAAUGGGGGCAACCCUGAUCCAGCCAUGCCGCGUGCGGGAAGAAGGCCUUCGGGUUGUAAACCGCUUUUGUCGGGGAAGAAAUCCUCCGGGCUAAUACCCCGGGGGGAUGACGGUACCCGGAGAAUAAGCACCGGCUAACUACGUGCCAGCAGCCGCAGUAACAC